rnacentral:rRNA from 1 species
GCCUUCUGAAUAAAGCGUUUGGGCGUCCCAUGCGCCCGCCCGCCAGAUUUGCCGGGAAUUUCUACACCAAAAAUUUUUUUUUUGUUUUUGUUUGUUUCUUUGUUAUUGUAGGUCCGGGAUGAUGAGAGAGGCAGGUGGUGCUGAGAGAGACACCUUUCGCAUCUCAGUCAGAAGAGGAGUAACUGCCUCUAGAGGACUGACGGUUACCUACAUAACCUUGUUAUGAGGUUGGGUGGGAGAGCCGGGCAUAGUGUGGAGACGUCCAAGCUCGUCACCGCUGAGGGAUGCCCUUGGAUGACCCCCCAAUUCUGGGGGGACAUGGAUUUGGAAGGAGAAGUUGACGACACGCGGGAGGAGAGUUUGGAUGUAAAUUUGUGUAGGAGACAGGAGAGAUACUUUCUCCUUGAGGUUUACCAGAAGCAGGCAAUACGGCAGAGCGCGUAUAGUAGUGGAAGGUGUCGGAUUAUGGGGUAAGCGAGGCAGCGGUUCUUAGUUGAUGUGAAGCCCCGGGUCACCGGGGAGGUCAUGGAAACUGGAGACUGAGUGCAGAGAGGAGAGUGGAUUCCAUGUGAGCGUGAAAGCGUAGAUAAUGGAGGACACCAGUGGCGAGGGGGCUCUCUGGUCUGUAACUGACGCUGAGGUCGAAAGCGUGGGAGCAAACAGGAUUAGAUACCCUGGUAGUCCACGCCGUAAACGAUGAGUGCUAAGUGUUGGAGGGUUUCCGCCCUUCAGUGCUGCAGCUAACGCAUUAAGCACUCCGCCUGGGGAGUACGACCGCAAGGUUGAAACUCAAAGGAAUUGACGGGGGCCCGCACAAGCGGUGGAGCAUGUGGUUUAAUUCGAAGCAACGCGAAGAACCUUACCAGGUCUUGACAUCCUUUGACCACUCUAGAGAUAGAGCUUCCCCUUCGGGGGCAAAGUGACAGGUGGUGCAUGGUUGUCGUCAGCUCGUGUCGUGAGAUGUUGGGUUAAGUCCCGCAACGAGCGCAACCCUUAUUGUUAGUUGCCAUCAUUCAGUUGGGCACUCUAGCAAGACUGCCGGUGACAAACCGGAGGAAGGUGGGGAUGACGUCAAAUCAUCAUGCCCCUUAUGACCUGGGCUACACACGUGCUACAAUGGGAAGUACAACGAGUCGCGAAGUCGCGAGGCUAAGCUAAUCUCUUAAAGCUUCUCUCAGUUCGGAUUGUAGGCUGCAACUCGCCUACAUGAAGCCGGAAUCGCUAGUAAUCGCGGAUCAGCACGCCGCGGUGAAUACGUUCCCGGGCCUUGUACACACCGCCCGUCACACCACGAGAGUUUGUAACACCCGAAGUCGGUGAAGGUAACCUUUUUGGAGCCAGCCGCCUUAAGGUGGGAUAAAUGAUUGGGGUGAAGUCGAACAAACGUUGUACA